GUGAGGAAUAUUGGUCAAUGGACGGAAGUCUGAACCAGCCAUGCCGCGUGAAGGAUGAAGGCGUUCUGCGUUGUAAACUUCUUUUAUCAGAGAAGAAACCACUGAUUUCUAUUAGUGUUGACGGUAUCUGAUGAAUAAGCACCGGCUAACUCCGUGCCAGCAGCCGCGGUAAUACGGAGGGUGCAAGCGUUAUCCGGAUUUACUGGGUUUAAAGGGUGUGUAGGCGGGCUAUUAAGUCAGGGGUGAAAUCCCGGGGCUCAACCUCGGAACUGCCUUUGAUACUAUUAGUCUUGAAUUAUGUUGAGGUUGGCGGAAUAUAACAUGUAGCGGUGAAAUGCAUAGAUAUGUUAUAGAACACCGAUUGCGAAGGCAGCUGGCUAAACAUAUAUUGACGCUGAGGCACGAAAGCGUGGGUAGCGAACAGGAUUAGAUACCCUGUAGUCC
rnacentral:rRNA from 1 species